CCUGGCUCACGACGAACGCUGGCGGCGCGCCUAACACAUGCAAGUCGAACGAGCGAGAGAGAGCUUGCUUUCUCGAGCGAGUGGCGAACGGGUGAGUAACGCGUGAGGAACCUGCCUCAAAGAGGGGGACAACAGUUGGAAACGACUGCUAAUACCGCAUAAGCCCACGGCUCGGCAUCGAGCAGAGGGAAAAGGAGCAAUCCGCUUUGAGAUGGCCUCGCGUCCGAUUAGCUAGUUGGUGAGGUAACGGCCCACCAAGGCAACGAUCGGUAGCCGGACUGAGAGGUUGAACGGCCACAUUGGGACUGAGACACGGCCCAGACUCCUACGGGAGGCAGCAGUGGGGAAUAUUGCACAAUGGGGGAAACCCUGAUGCAGCGACGCCGCGUGGAGGAAGAAGGUCUUCGGAUUGUAAACUCCUGUUGUUGGGAAGAUAAUGACGGUACCCAACAAGGAAGUGACGGCUAACUACGUGCCAGCAGCCGCGGUAAAACGUAGGUCACAAGCGUUGUCCGGAAUUACUGGGUGUAAAGGGAGCGCAGGCGGGAAGACAAGUUGGAAGUGAAAUCUAUGGGCUCAACCCAUAAACUGCUUUCAAAACUGUUUUUCUUGAGUAGUGCAGAGGUAGGCGGAAUUCCCGGUGUAGCGGUGGAAUGCGUAGAUAUCGGGAGGAACACCAGUGGCGAAGGCGGCCUACUGGGCACCAACUGACGCUGAGGCUCGAAAGUGUGGGUAGCAAACAGGAUUAGAUACCCUGGUAGUCCACACCGUAAACGAUGAUUACUAGGUGUUGGAGGAUUGACCCCUUCAGUGCCGCAGUUAACACAAUAAGUAAUCCACCUGGGGAGUACGACCGCAAGGUUGAAACUCAAAGGAAUUGACGGGGGCCCGCACAAGCAGUGGAGUAUGUGGUUUAAUUCGACGCAACGCGAAGAACCUUACCAAGUCUUGACAUCCCUUGACGAUGCUGGAAACAGUAUUUCUCUUCGGAGCAAGGAGACAGGUGGUGCAUGGUUGUCGUCAGCUCGUGUCGUGAGAUGUUGGGUUAAGUCCCGCAACGAGCGCAACCCUUAUGGUCAGUUACUACGCAAGAGGACUCUGGCCAGACUGCCGUUGACAAAACGGAGGAAGGUGGGGAUGACGUCAAAUCAUCAUGCCCUUUAUGACUUGGGCUACACACGUACUACAAUGGCGUUAAACAAAGAGAAGCAAGACCGCGAGGUGGAGCAAAACUCAGAAACAACGUCCCAGUUCGGACUGCAGGCUGCAACUCGCCUGCACGAAGUCGGAAUUGCUAGUAAUCGUGGAUCAGCAUGCCACGGUGAAUACGUUCCCGGGCCUUGUACACACCGCCCG
rnacentral:rRNA from 1 species